CUCAAAUUUGAAAUCUGGCCUCGGCCCGAGUUGUAAUUUGCAGAGGAAGCUUUGGGCGCGGCACCGACCGAGUCCCCUGGAACGGGGCGCCAUAGAGGGUGAGAGCCCCGUAUGGUCGGACGCCUAGCCUGUGUAAAGCUCCUUCGACGAGUCGAGUAGUUUGGGAAUGCUGCUCAAAAUGGGAGGUAAAUUUCUUCUAAAGCUAAAUACCGGCCAGAGACCGAUAGCGCACAAGUAGAGUGAUCGAAAGAUGAAAAGCACUUUGAAAAGAGGGUUAAAUAGCACGUGAAAUUGUUGAAAGGGAAGCGCUUGUGACCAGACUUGCGCCCGGCUGAUCAUCCGGUGUUCUCACCGGKGCACUYUGCCGGGCUCAGGCCAGCAUCGGUUCUCGCGGGGGGACAAAGGCCCAGGGAACGUGGCUCCUCCGGGAGUGUUAUAGCCCUGGGUGCAAUGCCCUCGCGGGGACCGAGGUUCGCGCAUCUGCAAGGAUGCUGGCGUAAUGGUCAUCAGCGACCCGUCUUGAAACACGGACCAAGGAGUCAAGGUUUUGCGCGAGUGUUUGGGUGUAAAACCCGCACGCGUAAUGAAAGUGAACGUAGGUGAGAGCUUCGGCGCAUCAUCGACCGAUCCUGAUGUUUUCGGAUGGAUUUGAGUAGGAGCGUUAAGCCUUGGACCCGAAAGAUGGUGAACUAUGCUUGGAUAGGGUGAAGCCAGAGGAAACUCUGGUGGAGGCUCGCAGCGGUUCUGACGUGCAAAUCGAUCGKCAAAUCUGARCAUGGKGGCGGAAAGACUAAUCGAACCAUCUAGUAGCUGGUUACCGCCGAAGUUUCCCUCAGGAUAGCAGUGUUGUCUUCAGUUUUAUGAGGUAAAGCGAAUGAUUAGGGACUCGGGGGCGCUUUUUAGCCUUCAUCCAUUCUCAAACUUUAAAUAUGUAAGAAGCCCUUGUUACUUAGUUGAACGUGGGCAUUCGAAUGUACCAACACUAGUGGGCCAUUUUUGGUAAGCAGAACUGGCGAUGCGGGAUGAACCGAACGCGGGGUUAAGGUGCCGGAGUGGACGCUCAUCAGACACCACAAAAGGCGUUAGUACAUCUUGACAGCAGGACGGUGGCCAUGGAAGUCGGAAUCCGCUAAGGACUGUGUAACAACUCACCUGCCGAAUGUACUAGCCCUGAAAAUGGAUGGCGCUCAAGCGUCCCACCCAUACCCCGCCCUCAGGGUAGAAACGAUGCCCUGAGGAGUAGGCGGCC
rnacentral:rRNA from 1 species